GAGAAAUUGCUCUUCAAUAACUAUGCUUAUAUAUUUCUUAGGGUCUGGUAUUUGAUUAAUUAGAAAUGACAGCUUUACUUGAUUGAUGUUUUUUAUUUAUUUAUUUAUUUAUUAUUUUUUAUUUAUCAAUUUAAGGUACUAUGAAUUGGGAACCAACAAUCCACCAUAUGCUGCCAAGUUCUACGACUUUUGUGGGGCUGAGGAUCCUGAGGCAUCCAUCUGCACUACCAGUUUCCAUGUUUCUAUGAUGACGAUUGAUCCAUGUAAUAUCUCUCUUUUAAGAUUCAUCAUUUCAUUCAGUCUUGCUCUUGCACUCUAACCAAGGUUCUGUAUCUCCAAUAAUCUCAUCUCUUUUAUAGAAACAUGAAGUUGAUGCGUAAUUGGGUUUUUUUUUUCUUGAGGUCUGUGUUUAUUUUCAUUACUGUAUUGAUGUUUUCUGCCGUUGUUUAUACAAUUCUAAGAGGAGAGAGAUUUAUGGCAUGAGGGUAAAAAAAACAAGGGAAGGAGGGAAAGAUGAGGAAGGCACGGGUUGGCCUGAGUUUUAUUUAAUUGGUUUGGGAUUUUGUUUAUGUUUGGGAUUCUUUUCCCUAAUUAAUAUUUUUUUUGAAUUCAUAUAGAAUUUUGUUUAUGUUUGGGGUUGUCAUGUUCGAGUAUUUAAUUUGGUAUUUAGUAGUUUACGUUACAGUUGUUGGUUUUCCAAGCGAUAAUGCUUUUUCUGAUAUAUGUGCAAAUGUUAACACUUUGUAGAUUUUCAGUUUUUAAACAAUAAGAUAAUGUAACCGUUUAGACUCCAGAGUGCUUUGUCAUUAAGUUGCGUGAAGGGACGGACUAUUCAAGUUUCGCAAGUUAAUUUAAGGGUCUUAAUCACUAUAUAAGGUCAGGACGACACACCUAUUGGGGCAAUGUCGGGAUGUUUAGGCUUGGGUGGAGAUGUGGACUUAUAGAAGAGGUGAAGUAGCUUAGCUCUCUGUCAUUAACUUUAUCUGUUCUAUGCAUCUCUACAAUCUUACAAUGCUCUUUUAUUAAAGUGCAAGAUGUUGGGACCGGUUACUGGAAUAUGAGAUUUGGAACAAAAGUGGUGCAAGAGUCGAAACCAAGUGUGAAAUUCACAUUGAAAAUGACUGGUCAAAAUGCUAAUCAUAUUCUGAAAAAUGUUGGGUUUCCUGAUGAGUACUCUGGCUGAAUUCAAGAGGCUAAUUUAGUGAUUUGCAGUUAAUUUUGUAAAUUUAUUGAAUGAAGUCAUUUGUUAUUUAGCUUAUCUUGUGUUUAGUUUGGUUUUAGGAGAGGGUUGCGCAUGAUCUGUAGAAUCAUAAUUAAGGGUCAGUUUUUCCAACAAUUUUUCUUUUUCUUUUUGCUGCAUGUUUGUGCAUGUUUGGUCUCUGAGAUUUUGUUUUUAGUCACUGUUGAUUUGUAGUUUAUGUCUCCCUUUGGCUACAUAUUGACACAAGUUUAUUCUUGGCAUUUUUUUGUUAGGGUAAGUGGUUUGGCCAGUUCUGUAUUAUCAUUUUUACUUAGUGUUGAUGUAUAAGGUGAACUCUCUUUGCAUCAACUUGAACAAACAUUCUUCUA